rnacentral:rRNA from 1 species
UACAGAGGUGCGAGCGUUGUCCGGAAUCAUGCUAGGGCGUAAAGGGCGCGUAGGCUGGUCUGGUAAGCGUGUGGUGAAAAGCCCGGGGGCUCAACCCCGGGUCGGCCGUGCGGAACGUGCUGGACUGGAGCAGAGUCAGAGGCAGGCGGAAUUCCGGGUGGUAGCGGUGGAAUGACGUAGAGAGUCCGGAAGAACGACCGGUGGCGAAGGGCGGCCUGCUGGGAUCUUGC